rnacentral:misc_RNA from 1 species
GAACGCACAUUGCGCCCGCCGGUAUUCCGGCGGGCAUGCCUGUUCGAGCGUCAUUUCACCACUCAAGCCCAGCUUGGUGUUGGGGCACCCGGCCGCCCAGCGGUCCGGGGCCCCCAAGUCCAUCGGCGGGCUCGUCGGGACCCUGAGCGCAGUAACACGCGGUAAAACGCGCCUUCGUUCGGAGGCUCCAGGCGGGUUUUUGCCGUUAAACCCCCUAAUUUUCUUAGGUUGACCUCGGAUCAGGUAGGAAUACCCGCUGAACUUAAG